GAAGUAAAUGAUUAAUAAAAAAGCUGCUAACUUUUUUUUUAAUGGUUAAAUUCCAUUUAUACUUCU
rnacentral:tRNA from 1 species